rnacentral:rRNA from 1 species
UACGUAGGUGGCGAGCGUUAUCCGGAAUUAUUGGGCGUAAAGAGCGCGCAGGUGGUUGAUUAAGUCUGAUGUGAAAGCCCACGGCUUAACCGUGGAGGGUCAUUGGAAACUGGUCGACUUGAGUGCAGAAGAGGGAAGUGGAAUUCCAUGUGUAGCGGUGAAAUGCGUAGAGAUAUGGAGGAACACCAGUGGCGAAGGCGGCUUCCUGGUCCGUAACUGACACUGAGGCGCGAAAGCGUGGGGAGCAAACAGGAUUAGAUACCCCU